rnacentral:lncRNA from 1 species
AGCAUAAUCAGGUAUUUACUAAAGAAGCCCUGGUGGAGGGUUUAACAAUAGACUAGCAUUGCAUCAGAGCAUUCACCUGGCUCCAUUUUAAGUGUCUGGCGUUCCUAUGGACAAAAUACAUUCAGAUCCAGCACACUCUUUCAUGCCUGCGUCUGUCUGUCAAUUCUCGCUGACUCCAUGCACAGCUGCCGGAACCCCUGAUUCCCAUAGAUUGAGAGGGGCUGAUUGGCCAUGGCAGAAUGGCACCCGAACAGGGACACCUGGACAGAAGGUGGAGAGCGGGCAGAGCAGGUUUUGCAGAUGGCUGUAAAAUGUUUGACCAAGUGUGGCUGAUGGUGGCUUCAAAAAAGAUUCAGCAUGAACCCUUGUACUUCAGUUACAUUUUAAAGAAAAUCCCACAGCUUGAAGAUUGUAACCCACCCUCAGCCUGAAACAGGCUGAUCCAGACUUUGACCUUGCUUCCACUAAGAAGGAGACGACCUGGGGUGGAGCCUUCCUGCCUAGAUGGCUCUAUUGUUCAUCCAAGGUUGCUAUUCUCCUUCAAGACAUCUCUACCUACUGAGAGGCCAAUGAGAUAUUCUGGAGGCUACACCCUAUCACCUGCAGCUGGUUCCAGGCUCCAAGAAUGGAUUAGCCAGGGAUGAGCCUCCCCCACUUUAUAAGCACAGUUUGCUAUUAAACAUUUGAGCCUUGAUCAGG